ACUACGGGUGGCAGCAGUGGGGAAUAUUGCACAAUGGGGGAGACCCUGAUGCAGCAAAGCCGCGUGAGUGAAGAAGUAUCUCGGUAUGGAAAGCUUUAUCAGCAGGGGAGAAAAUGACGGUACCUGAAUCAGAAGCCCCGGCUAACUACGUGCCAGCAGCCGCGGUAAUACGGAGGGGGCAGGCGUUAUCCGGAUUUACUGGGUGUAAAGGGAGCGCAGACGGCUGUGCAGGUCUGUAGUGAAAGCCCGGGGCCAAACCCCGGAACUGCUCUGGAAACUGUGCGGCUAGAGUACUGGAGGGGCAGGCGGAAUGCCUAGUGUAGCGGUGAAAUGCGUAGAUAUUAGGAGGAACACCAGUGGCGAAGGCGGCCUGCUAGACAGUAACUGACGUUGAGGCUCGAAAGCGUGGGGAGCAAACAGGAUUAGAUACCCGGGUAGUC
rnacentral:rRNA from 1 species